CUACGGGUGGCAGCAGUAAGGAAUAUUGGUCAAUGGGCGAAAGCCUGAACCAGCCAUGCCGCGUGAGUGAAGACGGCCUUCGGGUUGUAAAACUCUUUUCUAAGGGAAGAACCAGCAGGACAGGAAAUGGUCUCGCUCUGACGGUACCUUAGGAAUAAGGAACGGCUAACUCCGUGCCAGCAGCCGCGGUAAUACGGAGGUUCCAAGCGUUGUUCGGAUUUACUGGGCGUAAAGGGAGCGCAGGCGGAAGGGUCAGUCUGAAGUGGAAUCCCGGGGCUCAACCUCGGACGUGCUUUGGAUACUGCCCUUCUUGAGUCUGUGAGAGGAAAGCGGAAUUCAGGGUGUAGCGGUGAAAUGCUUAGAUAUCCUGAGGAACACCAAUGGCGAAAGCAGCUUUCUGGCACGUGACUGACGCUGAGGCUCGAAAGCGUGGGGAGCGAACGGGAUUAGAUACCCGGGUAGUC
rnacentral:rRNA from 1 species